rnacentral:lncRNA from 1 species
UUUUUUUUUUAAAUUGGUUCUUCUUAGUUAUACAUGACAGUAGAAUCCAUUUUGAUAAAAUUAUACAAGCAUGGGAUAUAUUUUAUUCUAACUAGGACCCCAUUCUUGUGGGUGGGAGAAUAUGCUAAGUGAAAUAAGCCAAUCCCAAUCUGACACUCUCAAACAAACAAUGCCACAGAGGGCAGUCAUCUUAUUUCUGUCUUCUUAGAUAUGAGUUUUACCAUGUGGGCUGGGUUCUCUGGAGAUGUGAAUUAAAAUAUGCAGUGAAACAUGGACUUGGAAGUCAGAAGCUGGGCUGCCCUCCCUCACCUAUGACCCAAUAGAAGUGACUCCCAGUGUCCCUGAGCCCAAGUUCGGUCUCUGCGCUGGGUGCAGUUGAGCCAGGUCAUCACGGAGGCUCCUCACAACUCUAGGAGUAACCUGUGGUGAGUCAUGCUUAUAUUCUGGACACCCUUUAGUCAUUUUGUGAAAAAGUUUGUAAACUGUAAAGUGUCCCACAACCAUUAUCUCUCUAUCAGAUAGCUAGUCUCUUCCCACAAUAACCCACAAUAGAAUUGGUCUGCAC